rnacentral:rRNA from 1 species
UACAGAGGGUGCAAGCGUUGCUCGGAUUUACUGGGCGUAAAGCGUACGCAGACGGUAAGGAAGGUCGAAUGUGAAAGCCCCGGGCUCAACCCGGGAAAUGCAUCCGAAACCCCCUUGCUAGAGUAUGAGAGAGGGAAGCGGAAUUCCUGGUGUAGAGGUGAAAUUCGUAGAUAUCAGGAGGAACAUCGGCGGCGAAGGCGGCUUCCGUGGCUCAUUACUGACGUUCAGGUACGAAAGCGUGGGUAGCAAACAGG